UCAGACAGAAGUAGCACGCAGGUUGAUGAGUCCACUGUACCUCUUCCCUGCCUCUGAAAUUCCAUCAGGGACCGUUUUCCAUCAUUUUCCCUCAACACACCCAGAUUCUCAACAAAUAUGGCAAGAGUUAUUCACCUGAACUGAGUUUCCCAAAGGGGCUUCUGCUGUCUUGGGAAAAUAACCUGCCUCACAAACCAGUGCUUGCGGGAAGAACAAGGUGGAGUCUAAACAACCCAUAAAACCAUGGACAGCUGUUGGCCAAAACCCCACCACACAUCAAGGCCCUGGCUCGCAGAGAGGCAGAAGGAGUCACAGGAAGACCCCAGGAGGAGGACAGAGAAUCGGCGAGGGCCAGGAAGGGGUCUACGGAUGCCACUAGCUGUCCAGUGACAAACUUGGUCCCUCUAGCUCAUGUACAGUAAGCACCAGUGAC